rnacentral:rRNA from 1 species
GCUAAGCCAUGCGAGUGGAGGGCGUCCCGCAAGGGAUGGCCCCGCAGACGGCUCAGUAACACGUCGUCAACCUACCCUGGGGUGGGGGACAACCUCGGGAAACUGAGGGUAAUCCCCCAUAGGUGGGGGAGGCUGGAAUGCGCCCCCGCUGAAAGCUCAGGCGCCCUAGGACGGGGCGGCGGCCUAUCAGGUAGUUGGUGGUGUAACGGACCACCAAGCCUACGACGGGUACGGGCUGUGAGAGCAGGAGCCCGGAGAUGGGGACUGAGACAAGGCCCCAGGCCCUACGGGGCGCAGCAGGCGCGAAACCUCCGCAAUGCGAGCAAUCGCGACGGGGGGACCCCAAGUGCCACUCUUAACGGGGUGGCUUUUAUGAAGUGUAAAAAGCUUCAAGAAUAAGGGCUGGGCAAGACCGGUGCCAGCCGCCGCGGUAACACCGGCAGCUCAAGUGGUGGCC